rnacentral:tRNA from 1 species
AGACUUAUAGCUUAAGGGCAAAGCAAAUGGCUCAUGACCAUUCCAUUGGGGGUUCGAAACCCUCUAAGUCUA